rnacentral:rRNA from 1 species
UUGACCUCGGAUCAGGUAGGACUACCCGCUGAACUUAAGCAUAUCAAUAAGCGGAGGAAAAGAAACCAACAGGGAUUGCCCCAGUAACGGCGAGUGAAGCGGCAACAGCUCAGAUUUGGAAUCUGGCCCCCAGGGCCCGAGUUGUAAUCUGGAGAGGAUGCUUCUGGCGCGGCGCCUUCCGAGUUCCCUGGAACGGGACGCCGGAGAGGGUGAGAGCCCCGUACGGUCGGACGCCCAGCCUGUGUGAAGCUCCUUCGACGAGUCGAGUAGUUUGGGAAUGCUGCUCAAAAUGGGAGGUAAAUUUCUUCUAAAGCUAAAUAUUGGCCAGAGACCGAUAGCGCACAAGUAGAGUGAUCGAAAGAUGAAAAGCACUUUGAAAAGAGGGUCAAACAGUACGUGAAAUUGUUGAAAGGGAAGCGCCCGUGGCCAGACUUGCGCCCGGCGGUACCACCCGGCGCCACAGCGCCGGGGCAUUCCGCCGGGCGCAGGCCAGCAUCGGUUUUCCCAGGGGGACAAAGGUGGCGGGAACGUAGCUCCUCCGGGAGUGUUAUAGCCCGCCGCGCCAUGCCCCUGGGGGGACCGAGGACCGCGCCUUGUGCAAGGAUGCUGGCGUAAUGGCCACCGGCGACCGUCUG